rnacentral:rRNA from 1 species
CUUAGUUGGCGGACGGGUGAGUAACGCGUGGGCAACCUGCCCCGUGCCGGGGGAUACCGCCUGGAAACAGGCGCUAAUACUGCAUAAGCGCAUACAGCCGCAUGGCAGUAUGCGGAAAGCUCCGGCGGCACGGGAUGGGCCCGCGCCCGAUUAGCCAGUUGGCGGGGUAACGGCCCACCAAAGCGACGAUCGGUAGCCGGCCUGAGAGGGCGGACGGCCACAUUGGGACUGAGACACGGCCCAAACUCCUACGGGAGGCAGCAG